rnacentral:rRNA from 1 species
CCUACGGGUGGCAGCAGUGAGGAAUAUUGGUCAAUGGGCGCAAGCCUGAACCAGCCAAGUAGCGUGAGGGAAGACGGCCCUAUGGAUUGUAAACCUCUUUUAUCCGGGAGUAAAAGACGCCACGUGUGGCGUUUUGCGAGUACCCGAUGAAUAAGCAUCGGCUAAUUCCGUGCCAGCAGCCGCGGUAAUACGGAGGAUCCGAGCGUUAUCCGGAUUUAUUGGGUUUAAAGGGUGCGGAGGCCGGAGGUCAAGUGUGCGGUGAAAUUUGGGGGCUUAACCCGUGGCGAGCGGGGGGAACUGGUGUUCUUGAGUGAGCGGAAAGCAGGCGGAAUGCGUGGUGUAGCGGUGAAAUGCAUAGAUAUCACGAAGAACUCCGAUUGCGAAGGCAGCUUGCCGGCGCGGAACUGACGCUGAUGCUCGAAAGUGCGGGUAUCGAACAGGAUUAGAUACCCGGGUAGUC